CCCGCUGAACUUAAGCAUAUCAAUAAGCGGAGGAAAAGAAACUAACAAGGAUUCCCCUAGUAACUGCGAGUGAAGCGGGAAGAGCUCAAAUUUAAAAUCUGGCAUGCCUCUGGCUGUCCGAGUUGUAGUCUGGAGAAGCGUUUAUCCGCGUCGGACCGUGUACAAGUCUUCUGGAAGGGAGCGUCGUAGAGGGUGAGAAUCCCGUCUUUGACACGGACAACCGGUGCUUUUGUGAUGCGCUCUCGAAGAGUUGAGUUGUUUGGGAAUGCAGCUCAAAAUGGGUGGUAAAUUCCAUCUAAAGCUAAAUAUUGGCGAGAGACCGAUAGCGAACAAGUACCGUGAGGGAAAGAUGAAAAGCACUUUGGAAAGAGAGUUAAACAGUACGUGAAAUUGUUGAAAGGGAAGCGCUUGCAACCAGACUUGCACACUGCCGAUCAUCUGGGGUUCUCCCCAGUGCACUCGGUUGCGUUCAGGCCAGCAUCGGUUUGGGUGGUUGGAUAAAGACCUUGAAAAUGUAGCUUCUCUCGGGGAGUGUUAUAGUUCUCGGUGCAAUGCAGCCUACCCGGACCGAGGACCGCGCUUCGGCUAGGAUGCUGGCGUAAUGGUUGUAAGCGACCCGUCUUGAAACACGG
rnacentral:rRNA from 1 species